GAUGAACGCUGGCGGCGUGCCUAACACAUGCAAGUCGAGCGAACCUUCGGGGUGAGCGGCGGACGGGUGAGUAACGCGUGGGUAACCUGCCCUAUACACACGGAUAACGUACCGAAAGGUACGCUAAUACGGGAUAAUAUUGUUGGUUGGCAUCUUCUAACAAUCAAAGCUCCGGCGGUAUAGGAUGGACCCGCGUCUGAUUAGCUAGUUGGUGAGGUAAUGGCUCACCAAGGCGACGAUCAGUAGCCGACCUGAGAGGGUGAUCGGCCACACUGGAACUGAGACACGGUCCAGACUCCUACGGGAGGCAGCAGUGGGGAAUAUUGCACAAUGGGCGAAAGCCUGAUGCAGCAACGCCGCGUGAGCGAUGAAGGUCUUCGGAUCGUAAAGCUCUGUCCUCAAGGAAGAUAAUGACGGUACUUGAGGAGGAAGCCCCGGCUAACUACGUGCCAGCAGCCGCAGUAA
rnacentral:rRNA from 1 species